rnacentral:rRNA from 1 species
CCUACGGGUGGCAGCAGUGGGGAAUAUUGGGCAAUGGGCGCAAGCCUGACCCAGCAACGCCGCGUGAAGGAAGAAGGCUCUCGGGUUGUAAACUUCUUUUAUCAGGGACGAAACAAGUGACGGUACCUAAUGAAUAAGCCACGGCUAACUACGUGCCAGCAGCCGCGGUAAUACGUAGGUGGCAAGCGUUAUCCGGAUUUACUGGGUGUAAAGGGCGUGUAGGCGGGAGAGCAAGUCAGACGUGAAAUCCAAGGGCUCAACCCUGGGACUGCAUUUGAAACUGUUCUUCUUGAGUUAUGGAGAGGCAGACGGAAUUCCGUGUGUAGCGGUGAAAUGCGUAGAUAUACGGAGGAACACCAGUGGCGAAGGCGGUCUGCUGGACAUUAACUGACGCUGAGGCGCGAAAGCGUGGGGAGCAAACAGGAUUAGAUACCCCUGUAGUC